rnacentral:lncRNA from 1 species
GGGGCGUUUUACGAGCGCUAUGGUGCAGACUUUACAAAAUCAAAAAUAGCGCCGAAAGCUAGGCUCUGGAUGAAUUGCAUACGCCCAUAUUGAUGCUCGGACGAUUUUGCUUUCAUCGAACCUGUGCGUCCACGUUUUGUUACCUAUGCACAUUCAACUGCUUGUGAGUGAAUUCCAAGGAAGUGUUUAUAACAGUUAGCACGAUUUGCAAAGUCGACGACAACCAUCAGCUUCGCAGCGCCAAAUCUAAAUAUAUACAUAUAUAUUAAAAAAUAAUUCGCGACCAAUGGCUCUGCCCGGGAAUACUAGUUUGCUCCCAUCGCUAACAUGAAUUUCGACUCGAUCCUGACUCGGAAACAACAUCGAUACGAAAAACAGGACAAAUACGAACGAAGGCCAAAGUUUGCGUAAAAUGUUUAAAUUCAAGAGAGGUGCACUGCGGGAACUAGGCACGGAUAUGUGGCAUGUUUGAAUUUUCAUGGCCGUGCAAAUGUUUCUGAUGUGGAAAGGAAGUAUCUAUGCUACAGUAUCUCCACGACAAGAAGUACACGAACACCCUCGGAGAGAUUCAUGUAGAAGCUGGGUAACUACGAGGUCGAUCGGACCUCAUAGCUUCAGUAGCAGUAAAGCCCUACGAGACUAAAGCGGGAAGCAAUAACAUGGCUUAGAAUAAAAGUGGG